rnacentral:rRNA from 1 species
ACAGCAGCCGCCGCGGUAAUACAGAGGGUGCGAGCGUUAAUCGGAUUUACUGGGCGUAAAGCGUGCGUAGGCGGCUAAUUGAGUCGGAUGUGAAAUCCCCGAGCUUAACUUGGGAAUUGCAUUCGAUACUGGUUAGCUAGAGUGUGGGAGAGGAUGGUAGAAUUCCAGGUGUAGCGGUGAAAUGCGUAGAGAUCUGGAGGAAUACCGAUGGCGAAGGCAGCCAUCUGGCCUAACACUGACGCUGAGGUACGAAAGCAUGGGGAGCAAACAGGAUUAGAUACCCCAGUAGUCCCUGUCUCUUAUAA